UACGUAGGGUGCGAGCGUUGUCCGGAAUUAUUGGGCGUAAAGGGCUCGUAGGCGGUUUGUCGCGUCGGGAGUGAAAUCCACUGGCUUAACUGGUGGCUUGCCUUCGAUACGGGCAGACUGGAGGUAUGCAGGGGAGAACGGAAUUCCUGGUGUAGCGGUGAAAUGCGCAGAUAUCAGGAGGAACACCGGUGGCGAAGGCGGUUCUCUGGGCCGAUACUGACGCUGAGGAGCGAAAGCCAGGGGAGCAAACGGG
rnacentral:rRNA from 1 species